UAAAAAAUUUGGCGGUAUUUUAGUCUAUUCAGAGGAACCUGUUCUGUAAUCGAUAUUCCACGAUGGACCUUACUUAAAUUCGUUAAUCAGUUUAUAUACCGUCGUUAUUAGAAUAUUUUAUAAGAAUGUUAAUUUUCAUAAUUUUUAAAAAGAAAAUAUAUCAGAUCAAGGUGUAGCUUAUAUUUAAGUAGAAAUGGGUUACAAUAAAUUUAUUUAUAUGGAUGUAAAUUUGAAAUAUUUACUGAAGGUGGAUUUGAUAGUAAAAUUGUAUAGAUAAUCAAUUUGAUUUUAGCUCUAAAAUAUGUACACAUCGCCCGUCACUCUUAUUAUUAAGGUAAGAUAAGUCGUAACAUAGUAGAUGUACUGGAAAGUGUAUCUAGAAUGCAAUUUAAAGCUUAAUAGUAAAGUAUUUCAUUUACAUUGAAGAGAUUUUUGUGCAAAUCAAUAUAAAUUGAUUAAUUUUUGUUUAUUAAAUUUAUUUAUUUAUGUAAUUUUUUAUUAAAAAUAAUUAUAAAAUUUUAGGUUUUAGUAUUUUAUAAAGAAAAAAUAAUUUUUAUUAUAGUGAAUUAGUAUUGUGAAAGAAUAUUGAAAUAA
rnacentral:rRNA from 1 species